CAAAAAAACAAACCCUGGUUUCCGUGUCCAACGUUUGACCGUCUGUCUUAUUUGAAAAAACUAUAAAAAAAAAUUAAAAAGAUAAGUUACGCAUAAAGUAUUAAUCAUGUUUUAUCAUCUAACAACAAUGAAAAUACUAAUUAUAAAAAAAUUUCAUAUAAGACGGACAGUCAAAUGUUGGACACGGAAACCCAGUGUUUGUCUUUUU
rnacentral:pre_miRNA from 1 species